rnacentral:rRNA from 1 species
AGAGUUUGAUCCUGGCUCAAGAUGAACGCUAGCGGCAGGCUUAACACAUGCAAGUCGAGGGGCAGCGGGGAGGAAGCUUGCUUUCUCCGCCGGCGACCGGCGCACGGGUGAGUAACACGUAUGCAACCUGCCCCUGUCAGGGGGACAACCCGCCGAAAGGCGGGCUAAACCCGCGUACAUGCCACCGGGGCAUCCCGGAGGCAGGAAAGGCUUCAGCCGGACAGGGAUGGGCAUGCGGCGCAUUAGGCAGUAGGCGGGGUAACGGCCCACCUAACCGACGAUGCGUAGGGGUUCUGAGAGGAAGGUCCCCCACACUGGUACUGAGACACGCACCAGACUCCUACGGGAGGCAGCAGUGAGGAAUAUUGGUCAAUGGCCGAGAGGCUGAACCAGCCAAGUCGCGUGAGGGAAGACGGUCCUAUGGAUUGUAAACCUCUUUUGUCGGGGAGCAAAAGGCGCCACGUGUGGCGUUCCGAGAGUACCCGAAGAAAAAGCAUCGGCUAACUCCGUGCCAGCAGCCGCGGUAAUACGGAGGAUGCGAGCGUUAUCCGGAUUUAUUGGGUUUAAAGGGUGCGCAGGCGGAAGAUCAAGUCAGCGGUAAAAUUGAGAGGCUCAACCUCUUCGAGCCGUUGAAACUGGUUUUCUUGAGUGAGCGAGAAGUAUGCGGAAUGCGUGGUGUAGCGGUGAAAUGCAUAGAUAUCACGCAGAACUCCGAUUGCGAAGGCAGCAUACCGGCGCUCAACUGACGCUCAUGCACGAAAGUGUGGGUAUCGAACAGGAUUAGAUACCCUGGUAGUCCACACAGUAAACGAUGAAUAAAAAUUGUUCGGGGAGAAUGAUCCCCUGAGUGAUACAGCGAAAGCGUUAAGUUUUCCUCUUGGGGAGUACGCCGGCAACGGUGAAACUCAAAGGAAUUGACGGGGGCCCGCACAAGCGGAGGAACAUGUGGUUUAAUUCGAUGAUACGCGAGGAACCUUACCCGGGCUCAAACGGGGAGUGACUCAGGCAGAGACGCCUGUUUCCCACGGGACACUCCCCGAGGUGCUGCAUGGUUGUCGUCAGCUCGUGCCGUGAGGUGUCGGCUUAAGUGCCAUAACGAGCGCAACCCCCGCGUGCAGUUGCUAACAGACAACGCUGAGGACUCUGCACGGACUGCCGGCGCAAGCCGCGAGGAAGGCGGGGAUGACGUCAAAUCAGCACGGCCCUUACGUCCGGGGCGACACACGUGUUACAAUGGGUGGUACAGCGGGAAGCCAGGCGGCGACGCCGAGCGGAACCCGAAAUCCACUCUCAGUUCGGAUCGGAGUCUGCAACCCGACUCCGUGAAGCUGGAUUCGCUAGUAAUCGCGCAUCAGCCAUGGCGCGGUGAAUACGUUCCCGGGCCUUGCACUCACCGCCCGUCAAG